rnacentral:rRNA from 1 species
UACAGAGGUCUCAAGCGUUGUUCGGAUUCAUUGGGCGUAAAGGGUGCGUAGGCGGCGCGGUAAGUCGGGUGUGAAAUCUCGGAGCUUAACUCCGAAACUGCAUUCGAUACUGCCGUGCUUGAGGACUGGAGAGGAGACUGGAAUUCAUGGUGUAGCAGUGAAAUGCGUAGAGAUCAUGAGGAAGACCAGUGGCGAAGGCGGGUCUCUGGACAGUUCCUGACACUGAGACACGAAGGCCAGGGGGAGCAAAACGGGG